rnacentral:lncRNA from 1 species
GGUUCGUAAUUUGAGAUGCUGAGCUAAGCCCUUAGGGAUAUUAAUUGUUAGAGGAGAUGGAGAAGAGUUCAUUAUUUUAUAUUGUAGCUUGAUGGAAUUCAAGCUAAGGUGGAGAUUUGUUGAGUAUGGUUUGAAUUUGAUACGAUUCUGAUAUGAAUUCGAUCUAUUUUGAAAUUUAAUUGACCCAUUUAGAUAUUUUGAUCUUUUCUCUUUGUUUUAAGAU